GGAGAGAUGGCUGAGUCGGCUUAAGGCGCACGCUUGGAAAGCGUGUGUAGGCUAACCCCUACCGUGGGUUCGAAUCCCACUCUCUCCGCCA
rnacentral:tRNA from 1 species